GGUGUUACUUUUUAGGGGCAAUUGUUUGUAUAUACCUAAAAAGUUUUCGACUUUCUGAUUUACCCUUCUUAGAAGCUUAAUGUUGAAAAUAUCUUUUUUACGUUCCAAUCUAUUUCAAAUAUAUCCUUAGAGUUAAAAUCUGUUAAUUAACUCUGUUAUCUGUAUAAAAUUACUAUUUUGUCCUUUCAAAUAUACUCUUCCACCACACCGACUUUUCUUAUUUGCUCUUAAAGUCAGGGGCACAAAAAGUAUUUUGACUUUUGGUCUUUUCAAAUAUACCUCUUUAUCGUCACCAACAUUUCUUAUUUAUCCUUAAGUUAAGGACAAAAUUGGCAUUUUAAUUUUUUUUUAACUGUGGUAGAUAUUUAACUCAUGUUUAAUCCAAGUUAACUUAACAGGAGAUAACUGAGAUAUUUUAGAAAGAAAAAAAAGUAGAGAUAAAUUGAAUUUUUUCAAACAUAUGAGAGAUAUA
rnacentral:lncRNA from 1 species